rnacentral:rRNA from 1 species
CCCAGACUCCUACGGGAGGCAGCAGUGGGGAAUAUUGCACAAUGGGGGAAACCCUGAUGCAGCGACGCCGCGUGAAGGAAGAAGUAUUUCGGUAUGUAAACUUCUCUCAGCAGGGAAGAAAAUGACGGUACCUGACUAAGAAGCCCCGGCUAACUACGUGCCAGCAGCCGCGGUAAUACGUAGGGGCAAGCGUUAUCCGGAUUUACUGGGUGUAAAGGGAGCGUAGGCGGUUUAGCAAGUCAGAAGUGAAAGCCCGGGGCCCAACCCCGGGACUGCUCUGGAAACUGCGUCGCUGGAGUACGGGAGGGGCAGGCGGAAUUCCUGGUGUAGCGGUGAAAUGCGUAGAUAUCAGGAGGAACACCGGCGGCGAAGGCGGCCUGCUGGACCGUGACUGACGUUGAGGCUCGAGAGCGUGGGGAGCAAACAGGAUUAGAUACCCCCGUAC